GAAACAAGGGUAGACACUUCUAUAGUAUACAGAAAAACUUGGAGGAAAAAAGAGGAACAAGCAGAAACAAAAAAGAAGAAGACAUAAUUUCAAGGAUGAGGUUUGGGCACACAGGUCUAAAUAGCACACUGAAAAUAAUGCCACAGGAUUGUGUCAAUAUUACAGUGCACAGGAAACUGUUAAUCAUGUAAUUAUGCACUGCCCACAGUAUUUACAAGAAAGACAAAUUCGAAAUAAGACUGGAAAAAGAACAUAUCAAAUUUGAAAUUAAAGAAAUAUUGAAAUUGAAUUCAGGGCAUGUAGGUUACAGUGCCUUGUUUAUAUUCUUGGAAAAGACGAAGCUAAACCGGAGAAUAUAGCCAGAAGAGCCUUUAUUUAUUCCACUGGUGCUUAUGUAUGUUCACUUAUUGCCAUCGAAUUCCAUUUAUCUUGUUGUUAUUGUUUAAUUAUUUGCAUUUAGUUUCAUUAUGAGGUUCAGUAGUGGGUAGGCCAUUUCCAUCCACACUCCUUUUCAGAAGGUGGCAGUAGUGCACCUAUAAGUCAGAGAGAAUAAACAAGAAGAAUAAGAAACGAAGAAGAAGAAGAAGAAGAAGAAGAAGAAGAAGAAGAAGAAGAAGAAGAAGAAGAAGACGAAGACGAAGACGAAGAAGAAGAAGAAGAAGACUGUUCCAGCACGAGAAACAUCAACGCCAUCUUGGACCGGUCUAAACUCAGCCUCCAGCUGCAGCUACUAUGGUACAGAAUAGCUGGACCGGAGCACUGUGCAGUGGACCAAACAAAGCAGGACACGAGGAAUUACGUUUAACAAGUGAGUGAAUCGAGCUGAUAACCGGUCCAAGAUGGCGGCCACACGGCUCGUCAGCGCCUACUGGUGGCAGCAGUCAAUGCAGCGUCGAUUCUAUAAGUGGGCGUGCAGCAGGCAAACCCAGUGAUAUUUUAUGGCUACUACAUCCUCAAGUUCAUUAUGCUCGUUUUUUUUUAUUUGUUUUUUCAAAAUAAAUUUUGGUUUAAUGAUU